GCACGCCGCGUGAGUGAUGAAGGCUUUCGGGUCGUAAAACUCUGUUGUUAGGGAAGAACAAGUGCUAGUUGACAACCUGGAACCUUGACGGUACCUAACCAAAAAGCCACGGCUAACUACUUGCCACCAGCCGCGGUAAUACUUAGGUGGCAAGCGUUAUCCGGAAUUAUUGGGCGUAAAGCGCGCGCAGGUGGUUUCUUAAUGUGUGAUGUGAAAGCCCACGUCUCAACCGUGGAGGGUCAUUGGAAACUGGGAGACUUGAGUGCAGAAGAGAAAAGUGGAAUUCCAUGUGUAGCGGUGAAAUGCGUAGAGAUAUGGAGGAACACCAGUGGAGAAGGCGACUUUGUUGUCUGUAACUGACAGUGAGGCGAGAAAGCGUGGGGAGCAAACAGGAUUAGAUCCCCUGGUAGUCCACGCUGUAAACGAUGAGUGAUAAGUGUUAGAGGGUUUCCCCCCUUUAGUGCUGAAGUUAACGCAUUAAGCACUCCGCCUGGGGAGUACGGCCGCAAGGCUGAAACUCAAAGGAAUUGACGGGGGCCCGCACAAGCGGUGGCACCCUUGAUCUUAGUUGCCAUCAUUAAGUUGGAGCACUCUAAGGUGACUGCCGGUGACAAACCGGAGGAAGGUGGGGAUGACGUCAAAUCAUCAUGCCCCUUAUGACCUGGGCUACACACGUGCUACAAUGGACGGUACAAAGAGCUGCAAGACCGCGAGGUCGAGCUAAUCUCAUAAAACCGUUCUCAGUUCGGAUUGUAGGCUGCAACUCGCCUACAUGAAGCUGGAAUCGCUAGUAAUCGCGGAUCAGCAUGCCGCGGUGAAUACGUUCCCGGGCCUUGUACACACCGCCCGUCACACCACGAGAGUUUGUAACACCCGAAGUCGGUGGGGUAACCUUUUUGGAGCCAGCCGCCUAAGGUGGGACAGAUGAUUGGGGUGAAGUCGUAACAAGGUAGCCGUAUCGGAAGGUGCGGCUGGAUCC
rnacentral:rRNA from 1 species